rnacentral:misc_RNA from 1 species
ACGCGCAUGUUGUGGUGCAUUCGGUGAGCUAUGCUGGUGUGGUAAUGGAUAUUGUGCAAUUGUACAGCGUACCUUGCCAAGGAAAUAUUCGCACAAGAAAUGGCUGUCGUUUGCUCGUAAAGAGGCAAAAUUGGCCAUGAGUGUAUGUUGCGUUGCUUCACGAUACGGCCUCCAGCAAACGUUGUUUAUUGUUUGGUUGUGGCAGCAUCCAGGUUGGAGGUGGCGUUAUCGGUCGCUUGAA